AUGAGCCACAAUACGGCUUCAUGGCUCACUUCAAGCAAAGCAGGAGCAAGAACCACAUUCAUUUUCCUUUUUUACUUUCAGUAAAAAAUUCCAAAAAGACCAUACAAUCCAAUUAUUACAGAGGAAGAAAUAUUUGAAAUGGAAGUAAAGAAAACUAAUCUCUUGUUUGAGAUGAAAACAAUGGAAAUGAGAAGAGAGGAAGAGCUGAAGGAAAGAAUAAAGAAAUACAUGCUCAAUGGGAGAAGGAAACCUCCUCCAGAAUCCCCAGUCCCUCAGCCAGAGAAAAAGGAGAGGAGAAAAGUAGAGCCCGCAGUAUGGGAAUGACUGUCAAGGCCCAGGAGGAGGUCUCCUUUGAAAGAAGUGGAAAAAAUAGCACACAGAACAAAGCAGCUCCCACAAGACUCUCCUCAGCAAGCUUCCUGGCCCAGGUAGAAGCAGUAUGUCCUUUUCCUUUUUUGUGGCCUGGCAAGGCUGCGCCGCUUUUUGCCAUAGGGAGGUGCCAGACCCCGGUCCCCAUCACUCCUCCAACUCUUCUUCUAACCUGAGUGCUCUCAAGACCUUUGGAUUCCUUUCCUGAGAGUACAACUCUUUUUGCAGUGUCCCUGCUCCUUACUGUAGGCACACUGUUUGGGCCCUAGGGGUUUUUCCACAGAAAGGGUCGCCUAUUGCGAACCUUGGGCUGAGCCUCCCCUCUGGACAUCCUUUGUCUUGAAAUGCUGCCGCCCUCAAGUGGGUCUGCCUUUUCUCUGCUUCCUUUACUUCCACAUCAUCUCUCUGUCUCCACACCUUUGUAGUAAUCUCUACUAAUUCAGCAACCCCAAUUUAUGAGUGCUUAAACAGACAAAGAACUGAACUUGUAACAACACACCACAUGUGUCACACAUUAUAUAUAUUAAGGAUUAAAUAGAAGUUGCUGUUUGUCA